CGAUACUUGGUGUGAAUUGCAGAAUUCAGUGAAUCAUCGAAUCUUUGAACGCACCUUGCGCUCCUUGGUAUUCCGAGGAGCAUGCCUGUUUGAGUGUCAUGGUAUUCUCAACCCACACAUCCUUGUGAUGUUCGUAGGGCUUGGACUUGGAGGCUUGCUGGCCGUCGCGGUCGGCUCCUCUUGAAUGCAUUAGCUUGGUUCCUUGCGGAUCGGCUCUCAGUGUGAUAAUUGUCUACGCUGUGACCGUGAAGCGUUUGGCGAGCUUCUAACCGUCCUGCUAGGGACAAACUUACUUGACAUCUGACCUCAAAUCAGGUAGGACUACCCGCUGAACUUAAGCAUAUCAAUAAGCGGAGGA
rnacentral:rRNA from 1 species